GUUUGUUGUGUUAGUGUGUGAUAGUUUGGUUGUUGGUAUGAGGUGUGUUGUGUUUGGGUUUGGUAGUUUGGUUGAUGGUAUUGGGUGUAUUCUGUUUGUUGUUGGUAGGGUUGUGUAUAUUGAGUUUGUGGUUCAUAUUGGGUGGAAGUCGAAGUUUGUGUAUAAUGUUGGUUGGGAGGGAUUCUUGUUUGGGGGUUUGUUAAUUGUGG
rnacentral:lncRNA from 1 species